AAAGAGCACUAAGCUCCCAGGGUCGCGGGCGUCUGUGGUUGCUCCAGCGAGUCUCACCCUACUUGGUCCCACCUGUCGGCGCCGGGCUGGUUUCGUGUUACCUUUCGGUUGUCGGUGGAAUCGUCGGUGGAAUCGCCGUCUCUGUGGUAUGCUAGAAGGAAAACACGCCUCGUCCUCUUCAUUACCUCUGCUCAAGGUCUCCUCCUCCUCUUUGUCGUGCUCGCCGUGGUGGCGAGGGGGGCCAUCCCGGUGUUGGCGUAGCUGACGGAAGACUGCAAGGAUGCGAUCCAGAUCUUCUCCCCGCGUCGACCUGGUCUCUAGCGGGGCUCCAAUCUGGUACCAUCUUUCCUGUCUUAAACUGCCUCUAAUCUGCGACCCGUCCAUGGCCCUAGAGGCAAGCCCCAUCUGAUGAACCACGGUUGUGCUUGAACUCCUCAGUCCUCACAGGAUCUUCCUCUACUCACAGGUGUUUUUCUGGUAGUUGGAGGUUGGAAACAAGACUGCAGUGUCUUCUCCACUAAUUAAGUUCAGAGUACAUUGUUAAGACUUCAAAUGCUCUAACUUAUUUCUUAUAUAUAAUAGGAAAUACUUUCAACCUGGGAUUGGCAGUAUUCCAGCAUAUAUAAUUUCAUGGCAUUUAUUCAGUUCUUGCAUGCAUUGCACCAGGUUGAACUUUGGUCUGAAGUUACAAAGUUGUACCCUGACAUGAGCAUGUUUAUGUAAAUUAGGUCUUAUUUGGAAAUUCUUCUGUGUGAGUAAACAAUAAUUAACGCAUUGUUUCAAUUUUGCAAGAGCUACAUUUUGUAGUUUGAAAGAGCAGAAGUGUUGAAUUAAAUAGUGCCGGUUUGUCCUGCAUAAAUUGCUGAAAUUUGUUUCUUCGCAAGAACUUAGUUGUGUGGUAGCUCUA